GCAAGUGUAAAAAAAAUUGGAAACAGUGACCGCGAGUAAUUUUUUUAAAUUUACGUUUGCGGAGUUUAACAGGGGUUCCUGAAUUCACAAGGUUAAGUGAAAAAAUGCACAUAAUUUGUUUGAAAACACUAUUUUACUAGAUUCUUGUCAAAACAUUUUUCUAUUGACAAGAGGACAGGUAACAAGAUUUAGAAUGGAACGUGAUCGAAACGUGAUUUUGAAUUGUCUGGAUUAAAUGCGGAUCAAUUAUUAUUUGUGGCCUUAUCAAAGAGAGUGUCAGUGGUAGACAACCGACUCUUUUAGUUUCCUGUUUAAGAAACUUUAAAUAGAGAUUUCAUUUUUUUAAGAUCUGGUAUUAUAACACGUUUUGAACACGGAGUGAACCAUGUCGUGCAAUAAUCAUAGAAAUUUACUGGGCUUUUAAAUAUAAUUUAUUAUUACUCUUUUUGUUCAAGAGCACUUUGGUUGAACCAAAAGAAGAAAUGUAAAUGUUCUUCUCUGCUCUCAUCGGCUUUCACUAUCUUAAUGCAUGUUGAUUAAUUAACCUUUUUUUUGUUAUUUUUCACCUUCAUCAUCCAAAAAACUGCGACGCUUACGCUUAUUUUACGUAAAGGUACAUUACAACUACAACGUGAGCAUAUUGUUGUAAUGUUGUUACACAUGCGUUAUUUAGUUUGUCGUGUCCACCAACUCCUGAUCUUUAAACUGGGAUGUGCACAGGAUGUGCACUUGUAAACUUGUAAUGUUGUUACAUUCGUUAUUCAAUGUCUCGUUUCCGUCAACUGCUGAUUUUGAAACUUGGAGGUUCACCUACCCUAUAUUUUAUAAUAGUCGUACUGACAAAACCUAGACGACCAGUUGGUAGGUAGGACGUUGACGUCACGACACCCAGGUCGACCACGGUACCACGCAAGGUGAAGAAAACCUGAUAUGGUUGCAGAGGAAUAUUUUUAAAAAAAGUCCCUCGAGCGGUUCUAAAUGUAAGAUUCAUUUAUUCACCGAAGAAACGAGUCAAAUGAUAGAAGAAGAAAAUGUCAAUUGACCCAUGCCCAGUAACGUCAACCUGCAGAAGAAAACGCCAGUUUGCAUUUAACAAUCGAAGGCCACGGAGAUUAUUACACAAAACGUGCCAUGCAGUGGUGUGGAGGUUGGGUGAGAACGAGACGUGUUAGAAAACCAUUUGGUAUUCAUUUUGAAUUUUGAUAUUGGUUUUUGUAGACCCAUCCCC
rnacentral:lncRNA from 1 species